GGAAGUGAAUAAGGGCGUAUGGGGGAUGCCUUGGCUCCCGGGGGCGACGAAGGACGUGGUAAGCUGCGAAAAUGCGCGGGGAGGUGCAAACGACCGUUAAUCCGCGCGUGUCCGAAUGGGGAAACCCCACAGAUUGAAGGUCUGUGAACAAUAGUUGCCAACCUCCCGAACUGAAACAUCUAAGUAGGGAGAGGAAAAGAAAACAAAAGUGAUUCCGUAAGUAGUGGCGAGCGAACGCGGAAGAGGCCAAACCUUAAUACGUGUAUUAAGGGGUUGUAGGACUGCGUCGUGGAAGAUGAUUAUAUAGAAGAAUGUUUUGGAAAAGACAACCACAGAGGGUGAAAGUCCCGUAUUCGGAAUGUAAUCAUUACCUAGCAGUAUCCUGAGUAGGGCGGGCCCGGAGAAACCCUGUCUGAAUCUGGCAGCACCAUCUGCCAAGCCUAAAUACCACCGGGAGACCGAUAGCGUACAAGUACCGUAAGGGAAAGGUGAAAAGAACCUCGAGAAGAGGAGUGAAAAGACCCUGAAACCAUACGCCUACAAGCGGUUGGAGCUUCACCCUUUAGGGGGUGGGGUAACAGCGUGCCUUUUGCAUAAUGAGCCUACGAGUUACUCCUCACUGGCAUGCCUAAGCGCUUCAGGCGCGGAAGCAGAGCGAAAGCGAGCCUUAACAGGGCGAUUUUGUCAGUGGGGGUAGACGCGAAACCGAGUGAUCUACCCAUGGGCAGGUUGAAGUUCCGAUAGUCUCGGAAUGGAGGACCGAACCCGUAAACGUUGAAAAGUUUUGGGAUGACCUGUGGGUAGGGGUGAAAGGCCAAUCAAACUCGGAGAUAGCUCGUACUCCCCGAAAUGCAUUUAGGUGCAGCGUCGUGGAAUAUGUGUUGGAGGUAAAGCUACUGAGAAGGCUAGGGGGCUUCACCGCCUACCAACCCUUAACAAACUCUGAAUGCCAACACAUAGUAACGGCAGUGAGCCCUGGGGUGCGAAGGUCACAGGGCGAGAGGGGAACAACCCAGACCAACAGCUAAGGUCCCUAAGGAUCGCUAAUUCGCAGGAACGAGGUGGGGGCGCAGUGACAGCUAGGAUGUUUGCUUGGAAGCAGCAAUUCAUUUAAAGAGUGCGUAACAGCUCACUGGUCGAGCGCCCCUGCGCGGAAAAUAAACGGGCGUCAAGCGAUACACCGAAGCUUUGGAUUCGAAAGAGUGGUAGGGGAGCAUUCCAAACCGUUGAAGCGGUUGCGUGAGCAACCGUGCAGGUUCUGGAAAAGCAAAUGUAGGCAUAAGUAACGAUAAAUGGCGUGGAAAACGUCAUCGCCGUAAGACCAAGGGUUCCUGAUCUACGUUCAUCGGAUCAGGGUUAGUCGGGGCCUAAGGAUAAGCCGCGAGGCGAAGCCGAUGGGAAACGGGUCAAAAUUCCCGUACCGGCCUGUAUUGUGAAGCGGGGACGGGGUUGUGAAAGUGGUGCGUUGUUACGGAAUACAACGUUGAAGUCCCGAGCGAUCGGGACGAUAGUACCGCAAUACCUUCGGGUUGCGCGGAUAAUCCACCGUAGGGACCUCCAGGAAAAGCCGCUGAAACUUCAGAUACAUGCCGCCCGUACCGUAAACCGACACAGGUGGUCGAGGAGAGCAUCCUCAGGCGCUCGAGUGAUUCGUGGCUAAGGAACUAGGCAAAAUGGCCCCGUAACUUCGGGAGAAGGGGCGCCCCCUGCAAGGGGGGCCGCAGUGAAGAGGCCCAGGCGACUGUUUAGCAAAAACACAUGGCUAUGCGAAAUCGGAAGAUGAUGUAUAUGGCCUGACACCUGCCCGGUGCCGGAAGGUUAAGGAAGGGGCUUAGGAGCAAUCCGAAGGUCUUGACUGAAGCCCCGGUAAACGGCGGCCGUAACUAUAACGGUCCUAAGGUAGCGAAAUUCCUUGUCGGGUAAGUUCCGACCUGCACGAAUGGUGUAACGAUCUGGGCACUGUCUCAGCCACGAGCUCGGUGAAAUUGAAGUAUCGGUGAAGAUGCCGAUUACCCGCAACGGGACGGAAAGACCCCGUGAACCUUUACUGCAGCUUUGCAUUGGGCUUGGAUAUUCGAUGCGUAGGAUAGGUGGGAGGCUUUGAUCCGGGCGUUCUGGCGUCCGGGGAGUCGACGUUGAAAUACCACCCUUUGGUUAUUUGAGUCCUAACGCCUAUUUAUUAGGCAGACAGUGCAUGGCGGGCAGUUUGACUGGGGUGGUCACCUCCAAAAGUGUAACGGAGGUUUGCAAAGGUGCCCUCAGUACGGACGGUAACCGUACGCAGAGUGUAUUAGCACAAGGGCGCUUGACUGAGAGACCGACGGGUCGACCAGGGCCGAAAGGCGGCUAAAGUGAUCCGGCGAUCCCGCAUGGAAGGGUCGUCGCUCAAAGGAUAAAAGGUACUCCGGGGAUAACAGGCUGAUCUCCCCCAAGAGCUCAUAUCGACGGGGAGGUUUGG
rnacentral:rRNA from 1 species